rnacentral:tRNA from 1 species
GACCUUGUAGCUCAGACGGUAGAACAUCGUUCUAGAAAUGCGAAGGUCGCGGGUUCGAAUCCCAGCCGCGGUCA